UGGAUAGAUUAUUGUAUUCGACUGUAUUCACGGCGUGAAACAGGGGAUUACACUAUUUUUAAACGGAAAGUGAAUCAAUAGACUCCUAAUAUAACUCA
rnacentral:pre_miRNA from 1 species